GAUGAACGCUCGCUACAGGCUUAACACAUGCAAGUCGAGGGGAAACGCCAUCGAAAGCUUGCUUUUGAUGGGCGUCGACCGGCGCACGGGUGAGUAACGCGUAUCCAACCUGCCCAUCACUUGGGAAUAACCUUGCGAAAGUAAGACUAAUACCCAAUGACAUCCCACGAAGACAUCUGAAUGGGAUUAAAGAUUUAUCGGUGAUGGAUGGGGAUGCGUCUGAUUAGCUUGUUGGCGGGGUAACGGCCCACCAAGGCAACGAUCAGUAGGGGUUCUGAGAGGAAGGUCCCCCACAUUGGAACUGAGACACGGUCCAAACGCCUACGGGAGGCAGCAGUGAGGAAUAUUGGUCAAUGGGCGAGAGCCUGAACCAGCCAAGUAGCGUGCAGGAUGACGGCCCUAUGGGUUGUAAACUGCUUUUAGAAGGGAAUAAAGUGGGUCUCGGGAGACUUUUUGCAUGUACCUUAUGAAUAAGGACCGGCUAAUUCCGUG
rnacentral:rRNA from 1 species